CAAGGCGAUUUGCGCCACCUAUCCUGAACUCGACACAGCGAGGCAGUGAUUCUCCGGUUAGGUGAUGAUUCUAACAACUUCUGUUUUUGCAUAUCAGCCUUCACUACGGGAUUUUUUUGGUUUUUGUCAAUUCAUUGAGAUUUUGGAGGACUGGCAUCAGGAAGUGUUUCUGACGAUUACAAAAUAUGACAAGCUACAGCAACUCUGAAACCAUGCAGCGAGCAAAAAGGCAAUUGAGUGCUGUGUUGCCCAAGAGCUAAUCGAGUGGAAACGUCAAUGGGGAAAUCCAGGUCAACUAUAAUUCCCAUCAUGACUCAGCGGCAUGAAGAUUCUGACUACAGCGACCUAGAACUGACCUCAGGGAGAAAUCAGUCAAAACAGGAUCAUUCGUUUCCAGGAUUUUGGAGGAAAGGCCAUGUGAGGGUGCAGCAAGAAGGUGACUGUCUCCGAGCCAAAAAGAGACCUCUCCCAGAAACUGAAUUUACUGGCACCUGCUUCUUGGACUUCCAGCCACCACAACUAUGAGAAAACAAAUGUCUGCUGUUGGAGCCGCCCAUCAUAGGUAUUUUGUUAUGGCAGCCUGAGUUGACUAAUACACUACUGAAGGAAUUUCUUCUUUGUCAGGACAACUAGAAAACGUGCUGUUGCCGUGUUGAUAUAUAUGCCUGUCUUCAAUCAAAAUUGUUUCUAAGACAAAAAAAAACAAGACCCAAAACCAAAACACACAGACAGUACAAAUUUGGAAACUUUCAAGAAGUUAGUGAUUACUCCAGCAGUGAAAUGCCUGCUGUGACAGUCAAUUUUAAUCACCUUCAUUUUACAAAUUAGAAAACUGAGACCAAAAGAAAGGAAGUCAGCUCCUCACAACUGACCAGAACUGAGUUUAAUCGGGUGCCCAGGGCUCUUGCCAUUAUACCUGCUGCUUUAGAGCCACAGGUCUUGUCCAUUCCUGGGGCUUCUGGGAGUGGCAAAGAGGAGGGGGGGACAGCUGACUGCAGUCUCACACCCUGCCAUACCACCAAGGUGUCAAGGAUUUAGGGACACACAUUAUCUUCCCAAAACAGGACCCCACAGAGAAGGGCUUUUUUUGUUCUUCUCUUAUUUAGGAGAUCAGUAAAAAUCUUUUUGAUUUCAAUUAUAAAUACGUUAAGAAAUUUGCAGAUUAUCUUGAGAACCAGGAAUAGUGCAUUUUACUCAAUAAUUUUAUUCAUAACUUGCACUCUGUAAACAAUAACUGUCUAGCUGAGAUAAUCAGCACUCUAAAAAUUUAUAGAUGGGUAGAAAUUUAAUAUUUAAAAUUAGGGUUAUAGAUACGAGUUUUUAAAAAGCAUUUGCAACAAACCCAAAAGUACUACAUAUAUAUGGUAAUUCCCCAUGUCAUGCUUUAAAAUUUCUCCUUAAAAAUCUAUCAUCUAUCUAUCAUCACCCACUUAUAGAUAGAUACACACACAUGCAGACACACGUCAUAUUGAAGAUUAAGAUAUCUGUGACUAAGACUGCUGCUUAUCCAAUAUCCAUUUUCUCCUUCUUCCGUGGUACUAAAACCCCUACAUUAAUGGUUGCAUAUAUGUGCCCAGCUUUAAAGCUACAGUUUCCAGCCUCCCUGAUGGAUAUCCUUUCUCCAAGUGGACAUAAUUGGAUGAAGAUUCUAGGAAAGCUAUUUUAAAACAGCUGACUAGCAAUCAGGAAUUCCUCUCUUUCCUGCUGCCUGAAAUAUGGACGUGAUGGUUGGAUUACAACAGCCAUUUUCGAAUCAUGAGGUGACUAUGACGAUAAAACCCAUGAGAUAGGGAUAAGAAAGGAGAAAUAGUGAAGGAGUUUGAUCUUGGGUGACAGUGGAGCCACCAACGAAGUCCCAAACCAGCUAAAUCUGGACUUAUUUUACAGGAGAGAAAAAUGUAUAUCUUUUUUGAGCUUCAAUAAUUUUAGAUUUUUAUAUAUCUACUAACUGGAGUAUAUGUUCCAUGAGGGCAGGAAUCUUUGCCUGUUAUGUUCACUGGUAUAUCCAAGGGGCCUGAAAUAGCCAUUCAAGAAAUAUUAUUGUUGAAUGAAUGCAACGUAAUACAAACCUAAAGUCUCACUGUAUGUUUUGUAAUACUGCAAAGGGUAAGCUGAGAAAAUUCUGGAGUUUUUGCAAUGCUAAACAGAGAUUAGCAAACAAAAAGCAGCUGGAACCUUGGCAAAGAGUGGCACAGGAAGAUUUUUCCGAUCUAAGCUAAAAAUAGUUUGGUCUCUCUGGGAAGGACAGAGGCUGGUUCCAGCUGGGGUAAACUGUUUAUGGUGAUGCUGACCACGGAAAAAAUUCUGAAGGGCUCUGAGAUAUUAGCCACUCCUUGCCUUGCAAUACAAGACUAUAAAGUUGUAAAAUAUUUCAUCCCACCAGCAAGCUUUUCUAGAAUAUGAAUGAUUUAAGUAUAUAAAUAAAUAAACCACAUUCCAAUACUGGAUUUGGGACCUCUUGAAGUAAAAUCCGGGUCUAAUUUGCUUUGUCUCCCAACACCUUAAAGAAUGUUCAGUACAUAAUAAACCUUUCAUAAAUGUUGCCAAUAUGAGUUUGAAUUCGAGAAGUGCAAUAGGAAACAUGAAGUAUUUCUUAUCUUCUCCUAUUUCUCCCCUUCUCUUUUCCCAUACACCUCCCCAUACCUGCAUCCUCAAGUGGAGUCCAAGUCUGCUAGAAGUGUCGAUGGAAGUUGAUUUAAGGACUGCCUGAAAUUCCAGUACUAGAAAUUUAUUCCCUGUGAAUUUUCUACAUGAUUACUUGAGGAUUCUUCUCUUAAAUGCAAGUAGGCUCUAUGGCAAAGAAUACUGAAUUUUAAUCUCAAUUUGCCCUUUAGUUCUUAGUUCUAUACUUUCCCUAGACUUUUUUUCCUCCUAUGUAAAAUGGAAGUUUCCAUUACAUCAAUCAUUUCUAGCUAGGAGGGCUUGAAGUCUAUAACAAGGUUAGAUAAAGUGUUCCAAAUAUUUCCAAAGCCAAACAAGAAUUAUACAUUUAUAAUUCUGCAGCAUAAGCCAGCCUGAAAUUCUAGUUUUGUUUUUAGGCUGAAAUUAGAGGGAUGCAAGGUGAU